AGUGAACGCUGGCGGUAGGCCUAACACAUGCAAGUCGAACGGCAGCACAGUAAGAGCUUGCUCUUACGGGUGGCGAGUGGCGGACGGGUGAGGAAUACAUCGGAAUCUACUUUUUCGUGGGGGAUAACGUAGGGAAACUUACGCUAAUACCGCAUACGACCUACGGGUGAAAGUAGGGGAUCUUCGGACCUUGCGCUAUUGAAUGAGCCGAUGUCGGAUUAGCUAGUUGGCGGGGUAAAGGCCCACCAAGGCGACGAUCCGUAGCUGGUCUGAGAGGAUGAUCAGCCACACUGGAACUGAGACACGGUCCAGACUCCUACGGGAGGCAGCAGUGGGGAAUAUUGGACAAUGGGCGCAAGCCUGAUCCAGCCAUACCGCGUGGGUGAAGAAGGCCUUCGGGUUGUAAAGCCCUUUUGUUGGGAAAGAAAAGCAGCAGGUUAAUACCCCGCUGUUCUGACGGUACCCAAAGAAUAAGCACCGGCUAACUUCGUG
rnacentral:rRNA from 1 species